AGAGUUUUAAACAAUAGAAAAUCAGAUAACUGGAGAGGGAUUUGAGGUUGGAUAAGUGAAGGUAAAGUAAUGUUUGGGUGAAGAAUAAUUUGGGUUAAAGAAUUUGUUUUAGAUUUUUUGGAGGAAGGAGAGGAUGAAGAAGAGCCAUAGCUUGUUGGAUUUUUAGAGGUAAAAAAAGAAGUGAAAAUGGAAGAGAAAACAAAAUACGUAUUUAAGAAGA
rnacentral:lncRNA from 1 species